AGAGGGGGCGGGAGCCCGCAAUGUCAAUAUGUGACAGGCACCGAGGGCAGCCAAUCAGGGAGGUGGUAGUGAUGAGGCUAGCCAAUGAGAGGAGGAGGGGGGCGGGCGUUCAUCUUGAUGGACGUGUGCCGCGGCUAAUGGGCGGGGAGAUCCUCGGGGCUCUCCCCAAUGGAGAGCGUGCGAUUGCGGAAAGGGGAGCGGAGGGGGAAGACGGGCAGGCGGGGCGGCCAAUCAGCGCGGGGGUCGGCGGGGCGCCGUCCAAUGGGCGGCGCGAGGGGCGGCGCGGGGGCGUGUCCCGGUGUGUUUGGGUUCGUGCUCCUCGGGGGAGGGAGACGGCGGCGAGGAAAGUUUUUUUUUUUUCUUUUUUUUUCCCUUUUUUUUUUUUCCGUGUCCCGGCGGCGGGGGGGAGGGGGCGGCCCGCUCUCCGCAGCUCGCUCUCCUCUUUCUCUUCUCCCCCUCCGCGCCCCCCCCAUCCCCCCCCCCUCACGGCUUGGCGGCGCUCCCCGGGCGGAGCCGCCUCCCCCCCCGCCCCGAGGCCCCGCGGAGAAGGGGGGGCUCCGCGCAGCUCCGCGCCUCAGCGUUCUGUGCACCUGGAAUACUGCGGUGUUCCUACAGAGGCAGCUUAUGUGAGGUGACCAGAAAGGAGGUACUUGCUGGUUUCGUUUUUGCACUGAAUGUAGCCAGGACGGAUCCUUGUGGGCUUUGGCAGCCCUUGGAAACUGUCAAAGGCAGUAUUUUGCAUUUCUGCAGAGCUUUGCACAGAUCCUGUUCCCAUGCAAACUGAUGAGGGAGAAAUACUGGAGGAAGGCAGUCCCAAGAUGGAACAUGAGGAUUUUGUAAUGGAGGGGCAUGGCAAGACUCCACCUCCUGGUGAAGAAAACAAACAGUGCAAGUGGAAGCUACAGCUAGUUUAUAGUUGACCUGAUUUCUAAUUAGAGCUUUUCAAGUGCCUUACAAUCUCCCUCUUCUCCAAAACUAUGGUUACUGGAAAGAGAAUGAGAUCAGCAAUAGGCAGGAGUUAUUUUAUUUUUAAAGCUAAUAAAUUUGUGG